CGGAACGGUAGGUCGGGACCGGGGUACGGUAGGUAAGUAGUCUCGGGAAACUGCCCGGUGGAGGGGGAUAACUACUGGAAACGGUAGCUAAUACCGCAUAACGUCGCAAGACCAAAGAGGGGGACCUUCGGGCCUCUUGCCACCGGAUGUGCCCAGAUGGGAUUAGCUUGUUGGUGAGGUAACGGCUCACCAAGGCGACGAUCCCUAGCUGGUCUGAGAGGAUGACCAGCCACACUGGAACUGAGACACGGUCCAGACUCCUACGGAAGGCAGCAG
rnacentral:rRNA from 1 species